AUACGGAGGGUGCAAGCGUUACUCGGAAUCACUGGGCGUAAAGCGCGCGCAGGCGGCUAUUUAAGUUGGAUGUGAAAGCCUACGGCUCAACCGUAGAACUGCAUCCAAAACUAUUUAGCUAGAGUGUGGGAGAGGAAGAUGGAAUUAGUUGUGUAGGGGUAAAAUCCGUAGAGAUAACUAGGAAUACCAAAAGCGAAGGCAAUCUUCUGGAACACUACUGACGCUGAGGCGCGAAAGCGUGGGGAGCGAACAGGAUUAGAAACCCUUGUAGUCC
rnacentral:rRNA from 1 species